AAGAUCAUUAAAUGUUGUGUCUAAAUAUUCAUGGCUUAUAUUUACACCUAGAGAGACUACAAGAUACCUCAGAUGAAAAGUCAUUUUGAACUCAAAACAAUAGCAAAUUGUUCUUAGUUGAUUACUCUAGUUAAUUCCAAUCUUUAAAAAUUGAAGAAUGUUCAAUAUGAAAGAAAGAUUAAGAGAAUAUGCAUAUAUACUUACUUUUACUGGAAAGGAAAAGAGGAGAAGGAAGGAAAUAGAUUAUGAUCAUCCUUCCUCUGAAACAAUUAUAAGAUAAAUGAGGAAGUUCUUUUGUGUUUCUAAAUCUUCUUCUUAUCUAGAAAUCUAUAUAUUGCAACCACUUCAUCUAUGAACCCUCUUUACAGAAGUCUUAUCUCAACUGGGUUUUAUAUUUGAUGUCUUUUCAUAUUUUUCACUAUCCUGACAUCACAUGACAAGAAUUGAUCAAGCUUAUACAUUCUAACUGCAUUUCCAACUUUCUCCCUUCACCUCUGUAUUUCACUUGCAGAUACUGUUUUCUGAAUUUUACAAUCACAGUUUUGGUCCUUAACAAUCCCCCCCCCCCCCCGCCCGUUUUUGUUUUGUUUUGUUUUUUACUAUUUUGACAGAUUUCCUCAUAGUUUUAGUAAACAGAUAUAUUAGAUAUUGGUUCUUGGUAUGACAAGUUUUGAUUUUUAUCCUUUGCAGUUUAUCUUUUUAUUCAUACUAAAUCGAUGCUAUUCCUUUUCUUCCACUACACCUUCUCCUACAUUACAGUAGUUCAAUCCAACAGGUUUAUAGUUUUCUACCAGGACUUCUGUUAAGAAGACACUGAAAAUAAAAGGUGGGUAAGUGGUAUUGAAGAAGGAACCAGAAGUUGAAAAGUAUAGAUAUUUGAAAGUGUUUUCAGAAGACAACCAGUCUUUAGUGACUUUUUGGUGGAUAUUGUGUGCACUGAUACUCAGUGUUGAUCAUGUUUCUUGUCAAUUACUUAAAAAUAUGGCAUUCAGGGUUAAUGGAUAGUUUGGAAAAUCUUCUAUAGAGAAGAGACUAAAUGGCUCCUGCUCAGAAACAAGGCAGGAUUUUCUUGUGUUUAUAUCCUUGACAGUCUGUGCAGUGGAAGCCAUUUGCCUCUCUGGCCUCCUUUUUUGUCAGUCUUCAAGAAUGUGUUUAGUACCACUUCAGAAAUAUAGACUUCAAGCUCAGUACACAUAGAAUAUUAAAGAUACUAUACGUUGUAUUGUCUUCUACUCAAUUUUAUUUUUUUCAUGAAUUAUUUUUAUGAUUUAAUCCUAACAAUAUGUUCUUUGAUAAAUGUAUUAAUUACAUUCACUGUUUAAUGCAUGUAGAAAUUUUACAAAGUAGGUCACUUUUUAUUAUAUUCUUAAGCCCAUAGUAUCAAUGUUUCAUUUAAUGUCUAGAUUAUUUCAUGUAAUGUCUAGAUUGUUUCAUGCCUUUGUUGAUUUCUGAGGACAAAUGGACUUCUGUUAAAUAAAAUGUCGC
rnacentral:lncRNA from 1 species